GGGUCAGUAGGUUGGUCGUGCCACCGGUACGUACUGGUCUCACUGAUUCCUCCUUCCUGAAGAACCGUAAUGCCAUUAAUUUGGUGUUGCGGGGAAACAGGACUGUUACUUUGAAAAAAUUAGAGUGUUUAAAGCAAGCUAACGCUUGAAUCCAUUAGCAUGGAAUAAUGGAAUAGGACGAUCGAUCCUAUUUUGUUGGUUUCUAGGAUUGACGUA
rnacentral:rRNA from 1 species